rnacentral:rRNA from 1 species
GUUGAUCCUGCCGGAGGGUACUGCUAUCAGAAUUCGGAUUAGCCAUGCAAGUCAGCUCAACAGGUGUGUUGGGCGGCGAACGGCUCAGUAGCACGUGGUUAACCUACCCUAAAGAUUGAGAUAACCUUGGGAAACUGAGGCUAAGAUCUUAUAGUUCUAGAAAGCUGGAAUGUGUUUAGAACCAAAAAGUGUCGAGCUUUCUCUCGAAUACUGCUUUAGGAUGGGACCGCGCCCGAUCAGGUAGUUGGUGAGGUAACGGCUCACCAAGCCGAUAACCGGUGGAGGCUAUGGGAGUAGGAGCCUCGAGAAGGGCACUGAGACAAGGGCCCUAGCCCUACGGGGUGCAGCAGGCGCAAAACUUUUGCAAUGCGCGCAAGCGUGACAGAGGAAUUCUGAGUGUUGCUCCACGCGAGCAACUUUUCCUAAGUGUAAAUUACUUGGGGAAUAAGGAGAGGAUAAGGCUAGUGUCAGCCGCCGCGGUAAUACUAGCUCUUCUAGUGGUAUCCACUUUUAUUGGGCUUAAAGCGCCCGUAGUCGGUUAGUUGUGUCUUCUGUGAAAUCCUUAUGCUCAACAUAAGGGCGUGCAGAAAAUACUAACUUAACUCGGGAGCGGAGGAGGUCAGGGGUAUUCCAGGGGUAUGGGUAAAAUCAACUGAUCCUUGGAAGACCACCAGUGGCGAAGGCGCCUGACCAAUACGCAUCCGACGAUGAGGGACGAAAGCUGGGAUAACGAACCGGAUUAGAUACCCGGGUAGCCCUAGCUGUAAAUGAUGCAGACCUGACAUUGCAAUGACUUAGUGUCAUUGCUGUGCCGAAGGGAAACCGAUAAGUCUGCCGCCUGGGGAGUACGGUCGCAAGACUGAAACUUAAAGGAAUUGGCGGGGGAGCACUACAAGGGGUGAGACCUACGGUUUAAUUGGAUUAAACGCCGGGAAUAUUACCGUGAGCGACGGCAGAAUGAAGGCCAGGCUAAAGACCUUGCUAGACAAGCCGAGAGGUGGUGCAUGGCCAUCGUCAGCUCGUGGUGUGAACUGUCCGGUUAAGUCCGGUAACGAGCGAGACCCUCGUGCACUGUUGCUAUUCACGCCUCCGGGCGUGGAGCACUCUGUGCAGACUGCUCUCGUUAAGAGAGAGGAAGGAGGGGGCGACGGUAGGUCAGUAUGCCCAGAAUCACGGGCUACACACGGGUCGCAAUGGGUAGGACAACGGGUUGCAACUCCGAAAGGAAGAGCCAAUCCCCCAAACCUGCCCUUAGUUCGAAUUGAGGGUUGAAACUCACCCUCAUGAAGCUGGAAUCCCUAGUAAUCGCAGUUCAUCAAACUGCGGUGAAUAAGUCCCCGCUCCUUGCACACACCGCCUGUCAAGCCAUCCAAGUGAAGGGUUGGUGAGGCCGAGUUCUAACUGACUCGCUCGAACCAAUUCUUUGUGAGGGGGGCUAAGUCAUAACAAGGUA